UACGGGGGGGGCAAGCGUUGUUCGGAAUUACUGGGCGUAAAGGGCGCGUAGGCGGCCUUCUAAGUCGGACGUGAAAUCCCUCGGCUUAACCGAGGAACUGCGUCCGAUACUGAAAGGCUUGAAUCCGGUAGAGGGAUGUGGAAUUCCAGGUGUAGCGGUGAAAUGCGUAGAUAUCUGGAGGAACACCGGUGGCGAAGGCGGCAUCCUGGACCGGCAUUGACGCUGAGGCGCGAAAGCUAGGGGAGCAAACGGG
rnacentral:rRNA from 1 species